GCACUCAUAGCUCAACUGGAUAGAGUAUGUGACUUCGAAUCACAGGGUUCCAGGUUCAAGUCCUGGUGAGUGCACCA
rnacentral:tRNA from 1 species